AUCAUUAGUCUUUUAAUUGAGGACUGGAAUGAAGGAGUAAACCGGAAGAAAUUCUUUUAAAUUAAAAGGAUAAAUUUUACUUUUUAGUAAAAAGGCUAAAAUAUUUCUUUUAGACGAGAAGACCCUAUAAAACUUCAUAUUUUUUUUCUUUUAGUAAAGUUAAAAAGUAUUUCACUGGGGCGGUGAGGAAAAAACUUUCCUUUAAAAAAAAACGAACUUGUUUAGAAUACCUAGAAAUUUUAAAAAAGAAAUAAGUUACUUUAGGGAUAACAGCUUGAUUUAUUUUGAAAGAUCUAAUUGACAAAUAAGUUUAUGACCUCGAUGUUGAAUUAAAAUUCCUUUUUAUGCAAAAUUUAAAAG
rnacentral:rRNA from 1 species